CACUGCUCUCCUCACCACUUCUCUGGGCCAGUACAGGUGUAAUUCCUCCCCACAACCCUGGAUGCGACAGCAGUCCCGUGCACUAGACGUCGCCCUCACCCGUCUCCGCCUGGGCCACACCAGACUCACUGCUCACCUGCAUCGCCUGCACCUGUCCCCUGACCCAUACUGCCCAUGGUGCAGGACUGUACCUGAAACCAUCGAACACUUCCUUCUCCACUGCCCACGCUUUCACUCUCACCGUGUUGUGCUACGUUCCCGACUCCUUGCCCUGGACGUGGCAACAUUCGACCUGCCCACCCUGCUGGCGGCAGCAGGCGUUCACCCGUCACGGCAACCCACUGUCAUCCGCCUCACCUGUGCCUUCCUCAAAAAGACUGAUCAGCUGUCACGCCUGUGAUAACAUCACGGGCCUCCUCCAGGGCUCAUAGGAUCCAGCGGAUCUUCACGGCCCUCAACACGAAGAAGAUAACACAGAUAAGGGAGUUCUUGUGCCAGUUGGGGCAAACUUGCUUUUGAAAUUACAUUUUGCGUUCAGAAUUACUGUUUGAAUGCUUAUGCUGUCAAGUGAACCUAAUGAGAAAAAAAGACACCCUCCUUGGCGUUUGGCAUCGGCACCAUGGGAUGGAUUAUGGACACUGGACAGUGGCGCGAGAAAUCUGUGCCUGCUGUCCUGCUCGCUGUUCUUCCUUCUUAUCACCUUUCCUCCUUAAAAGGCAAGUAUUCCUGGCAGUAGAAUUAAUGUCAAUGUAGCUUAAGUGCACAGAGAUAAGUUUGUGGUUCGUGAGGCUUAGCUGGCAUGGAGGGAGAAUUGUCUUACUGGAUCGGUAUCCGGUCAUUUCGCCCACAUGCCAUUUCGCCACUCUAUGAAGUCAUUUCGCCCACAGGUCAUUUCGCCCACACUGUGGCAUGGUUGCCAACCUGAUUUUGCAGAUAGUUGUAGGAUAUACCGAAGGCGGGAUAGUACGAUAAUAGCUCAUAAUUAUCUAGUAUGUCACAACUAUAGGUAAACGCAACUAGGUAAAAUACACACCACUGAUCUAUAAUAUACUACUGGAUGGCUUAUGGUGUAAUUCAUGAGGGAAAAUUGUCUUGUCACUAUCAGGCACACUAGAUUACAUUUCGCAUUAGGAGCACUGUCACUCUCAGGCACACUAAUUGAAAAGUUAGAGAGAGAGAGAGAGAGAGAGAGAGAGAGAGAGAGAGAGAGAGAGAGAGAGAGAGAGAGAGAGAGAGAGAGAGAGAGAGAGAGAGAGAGAGAGAGAGAGAUAGCACACUAGAUUACCAGUGGUGAGGGAUGAAGCAGAACAGCGCGCGAGUACUUGGUUACACUGAGCACUUUGUGCAAAACCAUGGUUCGUUGGCCAUAAAUUUCCCACGUAUUAUACGACGGUAGUCUUCCUGACUAAUGCCAGUGUUACAUUCCGGUGCUGCCACUGGUCACAUAUUACAUUUAUUUAACUGUCUUUUGAUAAAAGUUUAUUUUUAAUUUUUUGUAAUUGCUUUCUGAAUCUUGCAUAUAUGCAGGUAUUUGUUAAAAGUUUCUUUUUAAUUCACCACUUUCUUAAUCUUACAUGUAUGCAGAUGUUUUUUUUUUUUUUUUUUUUUUAAUAUAUGUGGGCGAAUUGACUUGUAGGCGAAAUGACCGUAAUUCAUUGGAGCAAACGAAGGAGAAUUAAGCAGCAGGUUUCAGUUCAUUUAGAAUAUUUGCGUGAAGCAAGAGACAAACAAGAUGUUGAACGACCAGCACAAGCAGAUUAUAGUGGUUCUGACCAACAGAAUACUACUGAGAAUUCCAAAGUUUGUCAUGUUAGUGAAAUACAUCAGAAAAUUUCUGAGCCAGACUGUGAGGAUGAUGAACAGGGUCAGGAAGGACUAAGCUGUUAUGAACAGCAUCAUUAUGAUUUGCCCUGUCAACAACUGUGUUCAUCUGGAAGUGAUUCUGAUGUUACAGAUUCAGCUUUUGAAAUUUCAGGUCAUGAUGAUUAUUUAAUGUCAUCCAAGCUUACUAAAUGGGCUGUUGAUUUUAAAAUCUCACAGUGCAAUCAAUAGUCUUUUGGAAAUAUUAUUUAAAUAUCAGCCUAGUCUUCCAAAGGAUGCAAGAACACUGCUAAGUACUCCAUGGUGCUAUGACAUUCAGCAGGUUGCAGGAGGAUCUUAUCAUUAUUUUGGUGUGGAAGCCUCACUUGUAAGAGUUUUGUCCCAUAAGUUAACAACAAAAACACUGAAAGAUGAACACAUAGUACUUCAAAUUAAUGUAGAUGGUCUGCCUUUAUUUAAGAGCUCAAACAGCUAGUUUUGGCCCAUAUUAGCAAGAGUUAAUCAUCCAGUUGAGAGUGAACCAUUCAUCAUAGCAAUAUAUUGUGGCAGCCAUGAACCAGGGAAUGUUUCAGAAUAUCUACAGGAUUUUGUUACUGUACCGAGCUGUAUUGUGUCAAAGCCACCACAGCUACCACAGCCUGAAAGUCUAGAUGUAAACGGUAAUGCACUUUCUUCUUUU